CUUUUGAUGAGUCCUUUUCCCUGCACAGAGCUUCUGGUGAAGGUGGUGGGAGUUGUUCUUGCAGAGCACAUGGGAUUCCAACGGCCUGGCAGUGGGCCAGGAUCUUGUUGCCAUGGUGACUGACACUGUUUUCGCUGAAAUUUUGCCAGAUCCUGAAGAUCUUCGUGGACAAUCUCUUUGCUAUCGUCCUGCUGAAGCAGGCCACAGCUGUGCGCUGCUUGGACAUGAGUGCCUCCCGUAAGAAGCUGGCCGUGGUAGAUGAAAAUGACACUUGCCUGGUGUAUGACAUCGACACCAAGGAGCUGCUUUUUCAGGAACCAAACGCCAACAGUGUGGCCUGGAACACCCAGUGUGAGGACAUGCUCUGCUUCUCGGGAGGAGGCUACCUCAACAUCAAAGCCAGCACCUUCCCUGUGCACCGGCAGAAGCUGCAGGGCUUUGUGGUCGGCUACAAUGGCUCCAAGAUCUUCUGCCUCCAUGUCUUCUCCAUUUCUGCUGUGGAGGUGCCGCAGGUAACUGGGGGUGCCUGUCCACUCUUAGCACUGGCAAGGCUGACAAGACCAGGGAAGCUGGGCCCUUUGCUGGUGCUUUGGGGAGAGAGUAGCAAGGAGAGAAGAAUGGCAGCUGUGAUGUCGUGGGAGGCAGUCUGGGCCUGGAACCUGCCGCC
rnacentral:sRNA from 1 species